AUUGAACGCUGGCGGCAUGCCUUACACAUGCAAGUCGAACGGUAACAGGUCUUCGGAUGCUGACGAGUGGCGAACGGGUGAGUAAUACAUCGGAACGUGCCUAGUAGUGGGGGAUAACUACUCGAAAGAGUGGCUAAUACCGCAUGAGAUCUACGGAUGAAAGCAGGGGAUCGCAAGACCUUGUGCUACUAGAGCGGCCGAUGGCAGAUUAGGUAGUUGGUGGGAUAAAAGCUUACCAAGCCGACGAUCUGUAGCUGGUCUGAGAGGACGAUCAGCCACACUGGGACGGGGACACGGCCCAGACUCCUACGGGAGGCAGCAGUGGGGAAUUUUGGGAAAUGGGCGCAAGCCUGAUCCAGCAAUGCCGCGUGCAGGAUGAAGGCGUUCGGGUUGUAAACUGCUUUUGUACGGAACGAAAAGCCCUGGGUUAAUACCCUGGGGUCAUGACGGUACCGUAAGAAUAAGCACCGGCUAACUACGUGCCAGCCGCCGCCGUAA
rnacentral:rRNA from 1 species